rnacentral:misc_RNA from 1 species
UGUGGGAGCGGGCUUGCCCGCGAUAGCGAUGGGUCACUCAGCUCAUGUGGCGCCUGACACACUGCAAUCGCGGGCAAGCCCGCUCCCACA